GUUUCUCACCAGAUGCUUUCAGCAGAGAGGACUUUCCGCUGAGUCCAAAGUUCAAAAUUUUUCCGUGCAUAAAAGACGCUGGAAAUAGCUCCGGUGAAGUUCGGUAAAAAAUGUGGCGUUUAUUAUUGAUCAUAUCUCUGGUUUUACUUGACCGAUCAACAUGAUUCAAAAACUGGUAGAAGGUUCAAAAUCUGUACUUUCAGCACGCAUUUAAAGGGAGACUCGCCGACGCUUCAUUUUCCUGCUUUGUUUUGAUUACUGCGGUGCAACAAGAAAACGCUCCAGAGCGUUUUUCUGGUGGUAAGGGUUAAAAUCAUAACUGUGUGUGUGUGUGUGUGUCUGUGUGUGUGUGUGUGUGUAUGUGUGUUUUAGCUUUUGCUACAUUGUGGGGAACAAAUGUCCCCACAACUGUAGGAAAACUGAAAACUAUGUCAUUUGUGGGGAUCUCAUUUCGGGCCCCAACAGUGUUUUCUUGGCCAUGUUGUUGUUACUGAAAAAAGUAAGAGUGCAAAAACAUUUCUUUAGGGUUAGCCAUUGUUUUGGUUAGGGUUAGGGUUAGGGGUUAGAUAUGAAUGGGAGUCAAUGGUAAGUCCUCACAAUGAUAGAAAAACAUAGUGUGUGUGUGUGUGUGUGUGUGUGUGUGUGUGCCCAGGUUCUGGCCAUACUUGUGGGGACCAAAUGUCAGAGAGUAAUAUAAACCACCUUUCGUCAAAAAUGACAGGUUCCAAUCAGAAGCUGCCAAGUCACAACUUUGACAGGUGGCCCCGCCCCCUUUUUACCGGAAGUCCCGCCUUACCACAUGGUAUUUUACCGGAAGUCCCGCCUUAUCACGUGGUAUUUUUUACUAUGUGAUCUUUGUUUUUACCAGAAGACCCUCCCCCUUGGCGGUCAAAGUCAGGUCUAAAGUGUCUUCCUAACCCUCAGCGGCGUAUCUAUUCGGUGCAGAUGCCCCCCCCUCCGUCCCUCCCCUCCAGGGUCCUAACUGUCAAAAGUAUUUAUCUGAUCUGGAGCAGAGACGUCCCUGUAAAAACAAACUUUCAGCGUUCUCAUCCCUCCUGUGACACAGUUUUUAGCGUUCUUUGACAGAGAAACCCUGUGAAAAAAUUGAAAAUGUUUCUGUAUUCUCUCUAUUUUGCAUCCUUUGAACCCUAUGCUGCUGUCCACUAUCUCUUCCAGGCGAUCUGUCACCCGCGAGCAGUGGUGAGUGAGUGAGUGCUGAGCGCCUACACCCCCCGUGGCUGCGGUGACAGGAAGCCCCUCCUUAAUCGCCAGAGGGUUAUCAGAGCCGCAGGGGGAGAAGGGGAGAAUGUUAAACAAAACAAUCUUUUUUUACAGUCUGUUAGUUCAUUUUAAACACGAGACAGUCAACAACAGCUAACAAAAAAAUAAAAAUAAAAAAAAUGAGCAGUUCAUCUGUUUGAAAUAUACCGGUUGGAUAAAUAAAACUGAACAAUGUAACUGUUUGAAAUAUCCCAUUCAGAAAAUAAGAACCCGCAGUCUUUUUAACUGUUUGAAAUAUAUCAUAAAUAAAAAACAUGAACAAUUUGACUGUUUAAAAUAAAUCAGUCAGAAAAUAAGAUCCGUCAGUCUUUUUAACCGGAAAGUUUCAACAAUGUAGAAAAGCAUAUAGUUUGAAAAACUGUUUUAGUUUGUUAUACAUUUUAAAUAGAAACGUAUGUAAAUGAAAACUGAUAGGGGUGUGGGGUUAAUGACCUCAAAGUGUGAAAAAAACCCUCCAGAGGUUCAAAAGUCGCAUCACACUUGUUUGUUUGAACAGAUAAAGACGAGUCAGUGUUUUUCUCCAACAUCCGUUCAGCAAAGCUGAAUUUUAGUCAAAGUUCCAGAAAUUCAAAAAAUAUGGAAAACGGUACAUGGUUUAUUAAUCUUCUUUGCAUUUUUUAGCAUUAUUUUUACACACUUUUUUCUGAUGAUCUGUUGUUUCAAAAAAAAGCUGUGUUAUAGGCGCGGGGAUCAACUUUGACUUUCUUGAGGCCUGUGAGUAUUUCUUCUUCUUCUCGUUGUUGUUAUUUCAAUAAUUAUUCCAAGAAUCAAACAUUUUUCAAUUUUUUUUAGUUACCGAGGAAGAACUACGAGAAAUCGAACUGCACAUUGAGAACGCAGCGCGAAACGAAGCGUUUAGCAACCAAGAGAUUUGGAGUGAACGUGGCUGGGAUAUAGAGGGCCAGGACCCUGCCACACUUACGAGGCAAGUGAUGCGGAAUUUAGACAGCUUCAGACCCGGGCAGUGGCAGACCGCAUCGAGUCUCUCCGGAGUUCGGGUUCUCUACAGCCCAGGCGAUUUCCAGCUCCAUCAGGUUCCAUCCCCCUUGACUCUACCUCCGCCGUCUCCUCUCUUCUCCAUCGGAUCAACACCUCCGACGUCUCCCGGUCCUCCAGCUCCUCCUCCUCCAUCUCCCGAGAUCGCUGCAACGGUGCCGGGUUCCAGCGGUUCCACAGCUCCAGCACCGAGCCUGACCUAUGCCGCUCCGGCCGCACGCGCCCCAGCCCCCAUGAUUGGGAGAAGCAGCGAAAGCAGGACCGCUGCAACCGCGUUCCCCGAGACCGAUGCAACAGUUCCGGGUUCCACCGGUUCCACAGCUCCUCCACCACCACCACCACCACCAGCAGCUCCCCUGAUUGUGAGAAGCGGCACUGGCGGCAGGAUCGCUGCAUCCGCAUCCCCCGAGACCGAGGCAACGGUGCCGGGUUCCACAGCUCCAGCACCGACCCGGACCUACGCCGCUCCGGCCGCACUCCCCCCACCACCUCCCUUGAUCGGGAGAAGCAUCAGGACCCCCGCACCCGCCUCUCCCGAGAGCGCCGCAACGGUGCCGGGCUCCAGCACCCUCUCUCCUCCGACACCGGGCCAGACCUACACCGCUCCAGGGGCGCGUGCUCAUCCCAGGAUCCUGACAAAUAGAACCGCCAGACGGAACGGCGCCGUAAGAGGCUCCUUCACGAGACAUCGCAGGAGGAGAAGGGACCGCUAUCUGCUUGACACCCUAAGAGAUGAGUUGACGUGUGCGGUAAAUGAACUUUUACGCGCAGGAUCAGCAUAUUAUGCGGAGCUUACAAGAAUGUAAUUACGUUCGAGGUGAUUUCUGUUUUCGCUGUUUAUGAGGUUUGUUUUUUGUUGUUGUUAUUGAAGUGAAAAUAUUGUAAAACAAAAAAAUGACAUUAACACUCGCAAGACUAUGCUUUUAGGAUACUCCUUUAAGGACUGAAGAGGGAUCAUUUAAUCCUCCUGUCCUGCUCUGUCUGCCCUGGAAUGUGCAUUAUGCUAAUCAUGUGGCAACUUCUUGCAGGGAGAACAGUGGAAGGUGUGAACGGUGUGUGUGGGCGGGGGGUGGGAGGAAAUAUGCUCCCCCUUCCCAGGGGGGAUUCUGCUCCUGCCCUGGGAUGUGGACUGAUCAUUACGCUAAUUAUGUGGCAGCUUCUGGAUGGGAGAACAGUGGAAGGUGUGGAAGGUGUGAAAGGUGUGUGUGGGCGGGGGGUGGGAGGAAAUAUGCUCCCCCUUUCCAGGGGGGAUUGGCAUAAAAAGUCUGAAAAACACUUUUGUGGUCAUUAGCUACAUUAGCUAUAUGAGACAUACAAGAUCCCAGUGGACAACCUGCCAGUUCGUCAUCUGCUCCAAGACCUCUCCAAAAAAAAGAUGCAGAGAAGAUUCACUACUGAGCAGGCUUUGCAAAUGAUUCUGACUGAAACAAGCGCUUUUGACUCUGAUGGAGAGGACAUAGACCUUCAGUCAGAUUCUGACUCGGAGCAGUUUUCGGAGGAAGACGCUCCCCCUCCCCAGAAGAGGACAAAACGGCUGGAUACCGCACUAACGGAGACCGCAAAAGAUGGCACAGUGUGGUGCAAGGAAGAGGUUGGACGACAUCUGAAAUUCGCUCCUAUUGAACCUUACGCUGCAGAAGGAGAGCCAACACAUGAAGCCAGAAUAAGGAUCAAAACUCGCCUUCAAAGCUUCCUCUGUUUUCUCACUCUCCAGAUGCUUCGUACCAUUCAAGCAUGCACAAUUGAGCAUGCAAGGGAAACAGAGACUGUGGAUUGGUUCAUGGCUAUUCCAGAACUAAUGGCUUUCAUUGCAGUUGUCAUCUGGCGAGGGGUGACUAAGGUUCCAUCAUUGUCUGACAACUGGUCAGAGAUGUAUGGAAACAAACGGAUUAUGGAAACAAUGAGUAGCGACCGCUUCAAAGACAUAAUGCAGCACCUACGGUUUGAUAGCAAGAACACACGGGCUGAGCGAGUGCAGACAGACAAGUUUGCAGCUAUUUCCGAAUUAUGGGAAUCAUUUCGACAGAACUGUUGUCACAUUCUACAGACCUGGUCGGCACAUCACAAUCGAUGAACAACUUUAUCCAUCAAAGACACGUUGCCCUUUUCUGCAAUAUAUUGCUACAAAACCGGAUAAAUUUGGUAUCAAGUUUUGGGUGGCGUGUGACUUGAAAUCAAAGUAUAUUUGCAAUGUCUUUCCAUAUGUUUGCAAAGAACCUGGCCGUCCCAAAGAGGAGAGACUGUCUGAGAGUGUGGUAAUGAAGUUGAUGGGACCAUUUCUUGAUCAGGGCAGAACUGUCACGACGGACAAUUUUUUCACAUCAAUUUCACUUGCAAGAAAAUUACGCAGCCGGAAAACUACCAUUCUUGGGACACUCAACAAAAUUCGCAGAGAAAUUCCCCCUUCAGCUCGAGAGAUAAAGCAAAGUGAGUUCAGCACUCAGGUGUUUUCAACAACUGAUGCAACACUGACAGUGUACGCAGCCAGCCGGAAGAAGACAGUCUACGUUAUGAGCAGCAUGCACAGUGUGAUUCAGACUGAGGACAGCCGCAAAAGAAAGCCAAGCACCAUCACCCAGUACAACUCCACUAAAUGCAGUGUGGACGCCAUGGAUCAGAUGGUGCGGCAGUACAGCGUACGGGCAGGAACAAGAAGAUGGCCUGUCAGUGUAUUUUAUAAUAUGGUUGACAUGGCAGCCCUGAAUGCCCAUGUGCUAUAUCAAGCCUGCACAGGAAGGACGGAAAGGCGGCCAGAUUUUCUGAUGCGGCUUGCCUGUGAGUUGGCUGAGUCUUAUGUGACAUCAAAGAAGAUUGGAAAGGAAAACCAUCUUCGCAAACAGGCCGCCACACCAGUGGAACCGGGCAAAAGGCAGAAGUGCCAAGUCCAUCACCGGUGCAAAAAGAACCCUGCUACUGUUCGAUGUGUGCAUUGCUACAAGUUAACGUGUGGCAAAUGCAAAAGAGAAGUGCCAUGGGAGUGCCAGGUCUGCGCAGACCAGUUUUGAAAAAGUUGUGUGAUGACACACACACGGUAAAUGUGUAAAUUGUGUAAAUAUUGUUUGUGCUUUCUACAGUGUUGAUUCAAAAAUAUAAAUAAACUAUUAGAAUAAGCAUU